UGGAUUAGCGGCGAACGGGUGAGGAACACGUGAAGAAUCUGCCCUCCACUUUGGGAUAACACCGGGAAACCGGUGCUAAUACCGAAUAUUGAAACAUAAGUGGCAUCACUGAGUUUUGAAAGAAUUUCGGUGGAGGAUGACUUCGCGGCCUAUCAGCUAGUUGGUGAGGUAAUGGCUCACCAAGGCAACGACGGGUAGCUGGCCUGAGAGGGCGACCGGCCACACUGGGACUGAGACACGGCCCAGACUCCUACGGGAGGCAGCAGUGGGGAAUAUUGGGCAAUGGAGGAAACUCUGACCCAGCGACGCCGCGUGCGGGAUGAAGGCCUUCGGGUUGUAAACCGCUUUCAGUAGGGAAGAAGCGAAAGUGACGGUACCUACAAAAGAAGCACCGGCUAACUAUGUGCCAGCAGCCGCGGUAAUACAUAGGGUGCAAGCGUUGUCCGGAAUUAUUGGGCGUAAAGAGCUCGUAGGUCGUUUGUUACGUCGGAUGUGAAAACCUG
rnacentral:rRNA from 1 species